rnacentral:rRNA from 1 species
CAGACCGCCAGCUAAGGUCCCAAAGUCAUGGUUAAGUGGGAAACGAUGUGGGAAGGCCCAGACAGCCAGGAUGUUGGCUUAGAAGCAGCCAUCAUUUAAAGAAAGCGUAAUAGCUCACUGGUCGAGUCGGCCUGCGCGGAAGAUGUAACGGGGCUAAACCAUGCACCGAAGCUGCGGCAGCGACGCUGAUGCGUUGUUGGGUAGGGGAGCGUUCUGUAAGCCUGUGAAGGUGUGCUGUGAGGCAUGCUGGAGGUAUCAGAAGUGCGAAUGCUGACAUAAGUAACGAUAAAGCGGGUGAAAAGCCCGCUCGCCGGAAGACCAAGGGUUCCUGUCCAACGUUAAUCGGGGCAGGGUGAGUCGACCCCUAAGGCGAGGCCGAAAGGCGUAGUCGAUGGGAAACAGGUUAAUAUUCCUGUACUUGGUGUUACUGCGAAGGGGGGACGGAGAAGGCUAUGUUGGCCGGGCGACGGUUGUCCCGGUUUAAGCGUGUAGGCUGGU